rnacentral:rRNA from 1 species
UACGGGGGGGGCAAGCGUUGUUCGGAAUUACUGGGCGUAAAGGGCUCGUAGGCGGCCAACUAAGUCAGACGUGAAAUCCCCAGGCUUAACCUGGGAACUGCGUCUGAUACUGGAUGGCUUGAAUUCGGGAGAGGGAUGCAGAAUUCCAGGUGUAGCGGUGAAAUGCGUAGAUAUCUGGAGGAACACCGGUGGCGAAGGCGGCAUCCUGGACCAACACUGACACUGAGGAGCGAAAGCCAGGGGAGCAAACGGG